rnacentral:rRNA from 2 species
GUAACAAGGUCUCCGUUGGUGAACCAGCGGAGGGAUCAUUACCGAGUUUUCAACUCCCUAACCCUUCUGUGAACCUACCUAUCGUUGCUUCGGCGGACUCGCCCCAGCCCGGACGCGGACUGGACCAGCGGCCCGCCGGGGACCUCAAACUCUUGUAUUCCAGCAUCUUCUGAAUACGCCGCAAGGCAAAACAAAUGAAUCAAAACUUUCAACAACGGAUCUCUUGGCUCUGGCAUCGAUGAAGAACGCAGCGAAAUGCGAUAAGUAAUGUGAAUUGCAGAAUCCAGUGAAUCAUCGAAUCUUUGAACGCACAUUGCGCCCGCCAGCAUUCUGGCGGGCAUGCCUGUUCGAGCGUCAUUUCAACCCUCGACCUCCCCUGGGGGAGGUCGGCGUUGGGGACCGGCAGCACACCGCCGGCCCUGAAAUGGAGUGGCGGCCCGUCCGCGGCGACCUCUGCGUAGUAAUACAGCUCGCACCGGAACCCCGACGCGGCCACGCCGUAAAACACCCAACUUCUGAACGUUGACCUCGAAUCAGGUAGGACUACCCGCUGAACUUAAGCAUAUCAA